ACAGUGGCGGUUCUACAUUGAAAUACACCCUGGGCGAGACCCCUUUCGAGCCCCCCCUGUGGCUUAUAUCUGGGGGCCAGCUAGCAGGGUCUGUUGACAGAGGCUCAUCCUCACCAGUGGGGCUCAGUGGGGGUUCAGCUCCAGGCAUUUCUAUCAGACAGCAUAUUGGCAUAUUACUCAAAACACAUUGCAGUGAAAAAACAUAGUCCUACUCAUAAAUUAUCAGAAAUAUUAAAAUUACAUUAAAUUGCAGUUGUCCAGUUGUCUUGUAGCCUACACACACACACACACACACACGAUAUGCACACCUGAAAGCUCAUGCUGGGGAGAAGUAGAGGCAAAGAGGUCUUCAUCCUCAAUAUCAGAUAUUUGUGGAGACAUAUGUGUAGCGGAGGAGGUUGUUGGCUCAUCCUGACCAGUGGCAGAGGAUGCUCCAAAAUAUUUUAGAAGUGCCCCUGAAAUUGCAAUUGAAUUGCAUUUGAAAUCAAAAGACCAUAGGAUAAUGUUUUAUAAAGCUAAAACAGCCUGGGGUCAAAUUGACUCAAAACAUAAUAGAAGGGUUACAUAAACAUGCUCUUACACACUAAAUGUCUGUCAUUAAACGCUAUAUCCU